GGGUCUACCCAUUGGUCAGGCUUAAUUGUCUGUACUGGUGAGAUGGAUCUCUACCUUCUGAGGAACUUUCAUGCCAUUUAUUUGGUGUGGUUGGAAAUCAGGACUGUUACUUUGAAAAAAUUAGAGUGUUUAAAGCAGGCUUAUUGCUCGAAUACAUUAGCAUGGAAUAAUGAAAUAGGACGGCUUGAUUCUAUUUCGUUGGUUUCUAGGAUCACCGUA
rnacentral:rRNA from 1 species